GGAUUGUAGUCUGCAACUCGACUACAUGAAGCUGGAAUCGCUAGUAAUCGCGAAUCAGAAUGUCGCGGUGAAUACGUUCCCGGGUCUUGUACACACCGCCCGUCACACCAUGGGAGUCAGUAACGCCCGAAGUCAGUGACCCAACCGUAACCGGAGGGAGCUGCCGAAGGCGGGACCGAUAACUGGGGUGAAGUCGUAACAAGGUAAC
rnacentral:rRNA from 1 species